CUUAACUCUUUCUUACUCUACUCUUUCCCUAUCAAUUUUUCUUUUCUUUCUCUCCAAGUUGGUUUCUAGUUUUCUUCUCUUCUCAAUUUGUGACCCUAGAUCGCGAACGGCAACCAAUCUUCAUCGUGCUUCUGCCGCAAGAAUCCUUAAUUGGGUUUCUUCAUUUGAUUUGGGUUUCAUUUAUUUCUCAUUUUCGUUUUGGAAUCAAUCUUUGAAUUUUUGUGAUGGGUUCUUGCCCAAACUAUUGUUGUGUUGUUUUACCCGGAGAGUAAGUGAGAGUUGAAAAGAAUUAAGUGAAUGACAACAAAGAAAUUAUCAUAUUCUUCGUGGUGCUGAAGCCACCCUCCCCACGCCAACCGUCUAGCAGCCUACCACCAAACGUCACCGUUGCGCGCACCGAAGUUGUUUGUAUUAGUUCUGACCCGCUUCGAUCACUCUUGAGUAAUGUAUUCUUAUUUUUGUAUAUUUUGGUUGGGUUUCUUGAAACUUUUUAAUAUAUAGUUUAGGCUUGUGUUUAACAAUAUCCAUUACAUUUCGUUGUUAGAUUUGAAGUUUUGGAAGAAUUGAGUUGUUGUCUAGUCAAUAAGAAGAUUGAUUUUUGGCUCUUUUGACAUAGAAUUGGUGAGAAUCUUGGUUUUCUUGAAUGGGUCAUGGAUAUCCAUUAAGUGUUUGGUGCAAAAUUAAAUUACUCGUGAUUUUGAAAUGUUAUAUUUGAGUUUAAAAGGUUGUUAUCGUGUUGUCCAGUGGAGUUGAGGUGAUUUUGACAUGUUCUCGGUAAGACUUUUGACAAAUAUUUCAGUGAGUUUUCUCAGAUUCCUUGAAUACCCAUUUGGUUUUGACAUAAAUUAAUGUUACCCAUAAUGUUUUGGAGGAAAGAUUAUAGAUUUGGAGGAUUUUGAAGAAAUUUCCAUCAAAGUUUGGUACCUUUUAAGUGUUGUUCCGUAAGUUUUAAUGCAAAAUAAAUAAUUAAUUUUAUGUGUGGUUCAGUUUCUCAUAAACAUCACUGUACUCUUUCUCUGUGAUUAAGCCCAUUUUUUCAAUUGGCAAGUUGAUUGUAGUCGUCUUUUGUAAGAUCCUUGGGUUUUUCUAUCUUUUCACUCACCAAUCGAAAGAAUUUUGUUACAGAAAAUGAUUGUUUACUUGUGAUUGCUAGGUAACAUUAUUGAUUAUUAAUUGUCUUUAUUUUUCACCUCACUCAUCUGCUUUGACAAUAUGACACCAUUUGUUGGUUCUAAAUUAUGAUUUCUCAAUGUUUCAUUCCAUUUCUUUUGCUUUCUCAACUAUUUGCUAUUGAAAGAAUAAGAAAGGAAUCUAUAUGUAUAUUUCAGAAGGAAGCUUCAAAAAGAGCUUGGAGUUAUUCUUCAAAAGGAUGCAUUUGAAAUGAUAUUUGAUUCUCUUUCUGAAGGGUUAGCGAAUCGUUCCAAGUAACCAUAAUAUUUUUAGACAUGGCAUAUGAUUUGGUUUUUUAUAACCUUUCCUGGUGAUUAGUCUUUUUUUGUUACUAUCUGAUUUUGGUUUCUGAAAAAUAAAUAUUAUCCGUUUCUAAAGUCUAUGGUUUGAAACUUUGAAAAACCCCAUUGCCCCAUUCCGAAAUUCCAGCCCACUUAAGAAAUACGGUGUUGCGAAGGGUACUAUCUUAGCUGCUUCGCGUCUCAUUCAAAGGGAACGAACAAGAUUAGUGAGAAUGAUCUUCAUGAACCUUCAGGAAAGGGAUUUGUCCAUGUUUCUAUUAUUUGAUUUUUUAUUAUAUAAAAUAUUGAUUUUAGCCUUAUUGAAGAUUGUAUCAAGUAAAUGUGAAGUAUUUGACAACUGAUAACUACAUCUUCUUUUGUGGACUUAGAAGCACUGUGGUUUCUUUAAGAAAUUUGAAUAUAGUCUUUGUUAUUCUAUAGAAAUGUAAGCUGCUAGUUUUCUUGAAUUUUUCAUUUUAAUCAUUUCACUUAAAAUUGUUGACCCACUUGCAUCUUGGAGUUAUUUUGUUUCAAAUUCUUGAUUGCAUAUUUGCUAAUGCAAGUGCUGGUAAGCAAAUCAAGAUUUGGGACGUAUCUACUGGACAAUGUAAUAUAACUAUGCCACAUCAUACAGACAAGGAAUGUUCUUCAUAUUGUUCAAGAGGCUGUAUCUUUGGAGAGGACAUCAUUAGUUUAAUUUUGGAUACUAAGUGAAGAAGGGUGAAGCUCGACGAGUAGCUCAUUAAGCGCAAGGAGACCCAACCAACCUUUCUAUGGCAAGGAAGUAGUUGCUAGGCGAUCAAGCCGAUAGCAAACAAAAGAUUUUUGGCGGGAAAGUCAGAAGAUGACUAAUAGGACAGGCUGCACAACAUAGCUAUAAAUUUUUGGAGAUCUUAAUGUCGCGUGCCGGCAUGUCAACAUCACUCCUGGUGUAUAAAUAGAGUUUCUCACUCCAAAACAAAGUGUGCACAAUUUGGGCGGAAUGCAAGCUCUUUAUAUCAUCAAUCCUUCUCCCUUACUUUGAGUUUUAGGUGAGAGCUAAAACAAAAGAGAGAGAGAUUCAUUCAUCCAUUGUUCCCCUCAUCUAUAGGCAAAAAGCGAAGCAAAUAGUACGUGAGAUUAGACUCUGUGGAGUAACUCACCUGUUGUAUUUUCACUUUCUCUUUCUUAUUUUAUGUUGUUUUGUAAGUAGAACUUCAUGGCCAGAAGGUUUAAGUGUUAUUUAUAAAAGCAAUGCUUU